rnacentral:rRNA from 1 species
GACGAACCACACAAACGUUAUUCGGAAUUACUGGGCUUAAAGGGUGCGUAGGCUGUGCGGAAAGUUAGGUGUGAAAUCCCCCGGCUCAACCGGGGAAUAGCGCUUAAAACUACCGUGCUGGAGGAAGACAGAGGUGAGCGGAACUUCGGGUGGAGCGGUGAAAUGCGUUGAUAUCCGAAGGAACACCGGUGGCGAAAGCGGCUCACUGGGUCUUUUCUGACGCUGAUGCACGAAAGCUAGGGGAGCAAACGGG